rnacentral:lncRNA from 1 species
UGUUAAUCUUUGUGUUUUUUGUUUGUUUGUUUUUGACAAGUACCCCUGCCUGUUGUGUAUGGUGUCUGAGAUUUCACUUCACCACACUUGUUGAUUAUAGGCAUGUGAAGACAGGGUACUACAUGGUGGGGGGGGUAGCAGAAACAGAUAGGAAUGACACAUCUUGGCUUCUACAAAGCUGGCGGUCUGCUUUGACAUAUCAACUUUGUGUCUCUCUUCCUCCUCCUAUCUUUUUGAGUGUUUCUGUGCAGACAGCCAUGGUAACUACUUCUCCAUGCCUGGAAAGCGUUAGCAGUCUUGUUCUUCUGGGAACACAACUCUGUACUCAUCCUCCGAACCAGAUGUGACUCAAGCCUGGGAAGACAAGUGCCAAAGAUCUGGUAUAGGUUACAUGAUGCCAGCAAAGCCAAUCAGAGGAUUUCUCAGGGACCGUUGCAUGGAUGGGAGGAGAAUAGUCCUUAAUGAGUGAAUUAUGAGAACCUAUAAUCUCUGCACUCAUUCCAGGCUGAGACAGAAGAUCCACCCCAUACCCCACCAAGGUUCAAGGACUCCACCCUGCUUGGCAAUGCUCUCCUACACCCAGACGAGGCCACUAAUGAAUGAUGGCUUGUUUCUUAGCUGCUAGAGCCUUCACAAUCUCUUGUGGUGUUCUCGCCUCCUCAGACAUGACUUCAGAGGGAAAAAAAAUGAUUUAGGAAGAGGAAAAUCAAACUCUGCCUGGGGAGGCUGCCUGCUUGCUGUACGAAAUCACUCUCUGACAAGGAAGAAAAUGCUGUUUCAUUAAAAUUCAAAUAAGG